AUGAACGUUGGCGGCGUGCCUAACACAUGCAAGUCGAACGGGAAGCCGAUUUCGGUCGGCAGAGAGUGGCGCACGGGUGCGUAACACGUAGUUCACCUGGCCCGAAGCGGGGGAUAACGCGCCGAAAGGCGUGCUAAAACCCCAUAAGCUCACGAGUUGUAGAGGCUUGGGAGAAAAACGUUAGUGCUUGGGGAUGGGGCUGCGGCCCAUCAGCUAGUUGGUGCGGUAACGGCGUACCAAGGCGACGACGGGUAGGGGGCCUGAGAGGGUGGCCCCCCACACUGGGACUGAGACACGGCCCAGACUCCUACGGGAGGCAGCAGUGAGGGAUAUUGCACAAUGGGCGCAAGCCUGAUGCAGCGACGCCGCGUGGGUGAUGAAGGUCUUCGGAUCGUAAAGCCCUUUUCUGCGUGACGAUAAUGACGGUAGCGCAGGAAUAAGUGUCGGCUAACUACGU
rnacentral:rRNA from 1 species